rnacentral:tRNA from 1 species
GCUUUGAUGGUAAAAUAGUAGACACGUGAGACUUAAAUUCUCGUACUAAAGAGCGUGGAGGUUCAAGUUCUCUUCAAAGUA